rnacentral:lncRNA from 1 species
CUGUGAGUCAGCGUGUGACCCUAUGGGCAUGACCGGGUGAGAUGAAGUGGCUCUUAAAUGCCUGAACCAGUAUAUCACAGGCACUAAUGGAUUUAAAUCAGGGAGAUUAAUUCCAUUCACUCGGCUCCUUGUCUCAGAAGCAACUGUCACGCUGAGCCUAAUUGCUGGAGAUGGUUGACGGCUCUGGGUGGACAGCCUCCUGAAGUUGGUUUUUGGCCCAUCGUCAAUUAUUUGGGCUUCUGUGCAGUGGGGAUAUAAGGAUGAUUAAGAUCCGCAGACAACCCAACAGCCCUUGUUUACCAUUAACUUCCGUCUUCUCGGCAGCCGAGUUUCUCCAGGCACCGGAGGCAGCGAGGUGCCGGUGCGAGCCUGUCUGGGUCGGGACCUCAGCUCUUCCCCCCACCCGUGUGCUAUAUGGCUACAGUCACGGGGGUGGCGCAAGCUGUGGUCCUCCUGGAGUGCCUUUCUCCUUCUUCUCUGCCUAGUCCAUUCCUACCUACCCUCCACACGCUGGCUGAACGAAUGGGUGCUACCGCUGUCAAUCUCCUCGGCGCUCAGCAUCCGCUUGGCUUCUUCCUACAAGACUGGGGACCCUUCCCUGAGGACUCUUUGGCUGCAGAAGCUUGCUGUUCUAUCACAGGACGGGCCGAAAUGCCAGACAGUGUGCAACCCCAAACAUUGAGAUGGGGAGCUGGCGUAAAUAUCACACCUCGCAUGCUACUCAUGGGGAGGGGGCAGCUCUGAGUCGUCAACCUCACAGAGGUCCGCUGCGAGGCUGUACUCAGGUGCCCUGUUCAGCCAUCGGUUCAUUAAUGUGAGCUGUGCUAAAGCCUGUCCUUUCCUGGCUCUCUGCUGUGCGCCUCCAAUCGCGUUUCCUGGGAUCCUCUCCCAAGUAAGCCACUUGAACUCAGAUCCCUGUCUCCAAAUUGGCUUCUGGGGCAAACCACCUGCAAAUGACUUUCUUUUUAUUGUACUCAAGUGGUUUAAGGAGAGGAGACUCUGGCUCCUAGGAUAAGGACACUACAGAGAUGACAUCUCCAGGAUAUGACUCCUUUGAGCAGAUGGCAAAUCAUCUUUCCAUUGUUGUCCAGUGGUUACAAUAGCUGAUAGGAGAUGCUACGCUGCUAUUCUUUUCUUCAAUCCGUGAUGUUUAUUGAUCUUCUACACUGGUCAGGCAUGGGCUGGACACUGGAUAUGUAGACUGGGUCAGAGCCUUCAAGGCUAGCAGGAGGACGGCAGUAUUUAUUCACUCAUACAUUCGUAUACUUUCAUGUAAUAAAUCUCUAUUGAGGGCCGACUUUGUACUCA